rnacentral:rRNA from 1 species
UACGAAGGGGGCUAGCGUUGCUCGGAAUCACUGGGCGUAAAGGGUGCGUAGGCGGGUCUUUAAGUCAGGGGUGAAAUCCUGGAGCUCAACUCCAGAACUGCCUUUGAUACUGAAGAUCUUGAGUCCGGGAGAGGUGAGUGGAACUGCGAGUGUAGAGGUGAAAUUCGUAGAUAUUCGGAAGAACACCAGUGGCGAAGGCGGCUCACUGGACUGGUAUUGACGCUGAGGUGCGAAAGCGUGGGGAGCAAACAGG